rnacentral:rRNA from 1 species
UACGUAGGGUGCGAGCGUUAAUCGGAAUUACUGGGCGUAAAGCGUGCGCAGGCGGUUUUGUAAGCCAGAUGUGAAUCCCCGGGCUUAACCUGGGAAUGGCAUUUGGGACUGCAAGGCUGGAGUGCGGCAGAGGAGACUGGAAUUCCUGGUGUAGCAGUGGAAAUGCGUAGUAUAUCAGGAGGAAUACCGAUGGCGAAGGCAGGUCUCUGGGCUGACACUGACGCUCAUGCACGAAAGCGUGGGAGCGGAACCGG